UCACAACCAUCCGUAAUGAGAUCUGACACCCUCUUCAGGUGCAUCUGAAGACGGCUACAGUGUACUUAGAUAUAAUAAUAAAUAAAUCUUAAAAAAAAUGUAAUAUUCUGUGAGUUGUUGGGUUUUCCACUUUCAUAUGGGUUCCGGGGAUAGAACUCAGCUCUCUUAUCCACUGAGUCAGAGGGGGACUUUUUUAUGGGAGCCAGGCCUCUCACCCAGUGAGCUAUAGGCCUGUGCCUUCAGGAGCCUAGAUUUCUUUCAUUUUUUUCCAAUGAGGAUAUGAAGAUGUCUGCCACUAACUGCCUUCCAGCCAGGACCUAAAGAGAUCUUGCUGGAGGGAAUGGAAGCCUCAGAGUGGAUGUCCCUGACUGACAGCUCUGUCUGGCCUUUUGACCCUUGAGUAACUUGAGGAAUACUAAAGGCCUAUGUUUCCGGUGUCUGUUGAUACAGCCUAGAUCAGAGUUACAGGAAUCAAGAGGAACCUGGGGUGGGUGCCUGGGCUUGCUACGCCUUUUCUGCAUGCCUUUGUGUCUUGGUGAGCAGCCAGGAGGAACCAUCGGGCUACAGGCCCACAAGAGGGAACCGAAGAGAGUCCUUUGGAGAAUGGGACCAUUUGCCUCUGGCAGGCAAAGGUGACCAGGGGACUUACCGAGGACAGCAUGGGAAAUGGCAGAGCUGGGGUUCCCAUCUCCAAUUCUGACUCCCAAGAUGAGUGACAUUUCUGUAAUAAUAGUGGUAUUCAUUGUUAGUAUAUAGGAAACAUAAUGUAGUUUUUACAUAUGUGUACUACGUGCAUGCUGGGGCCCACAGAGGCCAGAAGAGACCAUCAAGUUCCUCUAGAAUUGGAGUUCUAAGUGGUUGUAAGCUGCCCAAUGUGGGUGCUGGGAACUGAACCCAGGUCCUCUGGAAGAGCAGCAAGUGCUUUUAGCCACUGAGCCAUCUCUCCAGCCCCUAGUAUAAUAUAAUAUUUAAUAGCAACCACUUGGUCAUUGUAUCCAGAGGUAGAUGGGAGCAGGUGUCUGACCCACAGUAGGGUGGGUCACUCCCAUUAGCUUCCAGAUUGCAAGUGUCUACUGGCCUGACCCUCAGUGGCCAUUCAGUCUGUUAUACUACCAACUAAUCCAAGCUCUAGGUAGGGCACAGGUAAGUCCCUUUUACAGACGGGAACAGCCUGGGCUUGGGUCAUCUGCCUUAGGGUGACAGCGUUAAGACCGAUGCCUGCUGCUUCUCUGUUCAGGGACAGCCAGGAAGGAAUGAGGCCAUGCUUGGGGCCUGUGUGGAGGGAAAGCCCCGGCUACUGGGGUGCCAUGGUAUUUGGCAAACUGCCUCUCCUCCUCUGCCAAGUCAGCUCUGCAGCAAGCACGGCCUGAGGAUGAGCUGAGUCGGUCGGCAGCACAGUGAGCUGACCGAGGCUUCCAUUGUUGGCUCCAGGAAGCGGGUAGCUGUUUUCCAACAGGUCGGCAGAGCCAGCCAGCCAGCCUGCCUUGGAAUUGGCGGAUGGGAGUUGAGAACACUCUUUUCCUGGAGCCUCUGGGCUCAGGGCCAGGCCCUCAGGCUUCCUUUGGAGGGGGCAGGAGGUGGGAGCAAGUGAUGGAGCCAUUCUUGCCCAGCUUGGCACGGGCCUUUCCCUUUCCUCGGUCUGGCUCAUGCCCUGUUCUCUACCCAGCCCUCUCUGCAGCAGGGUGCACACUCUUGGCACUGGUAUCCAUUAAGCCUUUUUUCCAGAAAGCAGGACGGCCACAGAGGCUCACUGCCAGCGCCUCAGAAGGGAUGGGAUGUGACCCUCAGCGGCCUUGUCCCACGUGGGCCACAAACCCCUACCAUAGUGGAACGAAGAGCUCUGAGCUCAGGAGGACCCUUGAACUGCGAACACUAGUGCGUCCAGCAGGAAAGCUGUUCCCUUGGAGGGCAGUUAGCACUGCUGGACACUGAGGUGACACUUGGGUCUUCCCAUGGAGUUGCUGUCUUCUACCGUUGAUCCUGCAAGGCUGGCCUCUCCUGACAGUUGCUUCUUUGGCCUCUGGCCCUGAAUUCAGUUGGGUGGAUGGCUCUGGAUUAAGUGCAGGCCUUGCCUCUGUCCUGGGUUCCUGAGGUUUGGGCCACUGAAGCACAGGGCGGGAGGAGGUUGUCAUCUCUGGGGGGAAUUUCAAGUUCAGAUGCCAACAGCUGUGGGCUCUGGCUUAGACCUGGGGCCUCUGCACGCCCCCCCUUCCCUGUCAGCUGUCUUGGGGGCAGGCACCCAGUGGCUUUCUGUUUUGCAUAACUGCAAAGCAGCAGCAUUCCCACUGUCCCCACCUCUGUCUCCACCCCAGCCCCUUUUUUGGUACUAGAGUUUGAACUCAGGGCUUUAGACAUUCUAGGCAAGUGCUCUACAGCUGAGGUAUAUAGUUCCAGCCCCUUUUUUAUUUGAGACAGAGUCUUAUAUUAUACAGUCAGCCUGGCCUCGAGCUCAUAAUCCUUUUAGCUCUAUCUCUAGAACACUGACAUUAAGCUGUGCGCCACCAUGCCCAGCUGCUUUCCUGUUUGACUCCUGUGUCAGGAGCAGCCCUGGAUGGAGGUGGGGUCUGUUCCUGAUGGCUUGGCCAUUGCAGAGGUGUCUGGUGAUGCCACAGCACACUGAUAGGUAGAGGGACAGGCAGCUGUCAGUUUUCCAUGGACCUUGUUUCUGAUGAUAUAUUAUUCCUCCCAAAGGUCAUCUUUUGCUCUGUUUCACCAGGGUUCAGGUAUGACCCACCCCACCCCCUGGCUUUAGAGGUAGGCACUGUGUUCCAGGCCUGGGGACAGAUUGCCGAGUUGUCCGACCAUGGGACUUCAAUUGCAUCUUCUCACAGGCAUUGCUCGGUCAACAGAAUGUCAGCUUGGAAUUGCUGGCAGCCAAGUUGGUAUGCAUGUGAGGAUGAAGCCAACAAAGAAGAAAGAAAACACCGAGUGUUUUUUCAGGAACAUGCACCCUUGUAUCUGUCACCAUCAGGUUGGAAUAUUUCUUACCUGCCCUGAGCAGCCCCAUCCAUCCCUUUGAUGGCCAGUCCUCCAGCCUGGGCCCUCCACCCACCUGUCUAGUGACUCUUCUUGUCUUUUCUGGAUAGUCACAUGGUAUUGAAUGUCUACUCUUCUCUUUGUGUGCUUUCAAGGACCACUCCUUCGUGUGCAGUAGGGGGCCAGCC
rnacentral:lncRNA from 1 species